GAAAUGCGAUAAGUAAUGUGAAUUGCAGUAUUCAGUGAAUCUUCGAAUCUUUGAACGCACCUUGCGCUCCUUGGUAUUCCUUGGAGCAUGCCUGUUUGAGUAUCAUGAAAUCUUCAAAGUAAAUCUUUUGUUAACUCAAUUGGUUUCUACUUUGGUAUUGGAGGUCUUUGCAGCUUCACACCUGCUCCUCUUUGUUCAUUAGCUGGAUCUCAGUGUUAUGCUUGGUUCCACUCGGCGUGAUAAGUUAUCUAUCGCUGAGGACACUGUAAAAGGUGGCCAAGGUAAAUGCAGAUGAACCGCUUCUAAUAGUCCAUUGACUUGGACAAUACUUUUAUGAUCUGAUCUCAAAUCAGGUAGGACUACCCGCUGAACUUAAGC
rnacentral:misc_RNA from 1 species